rnacentral:lncRNA from 1 species
GUUGAAUCCAUCAUGAAGGCACUGCACUAAUGCUGUAGGAGGAACGCCAGCAAAGCCAUUCUUGUCACCAAACAUUGAACGCCGUCCACUUAUUGGAUGAUCUAAUAGGUAAGCUGCAACUUCUCUAAAUGCUCCUUCUCCAACUCUGGUUCCUUUCUUUAACCCUUCACCGUCUAAUGACAAUGGAAGCCCCCGUGGAUUGUUUAAGGCCAUUGGCUCCUCAUCAAUUGGCUUAAAAACAGAUACAUACUUCUUUCCCGACCGGUCUAACAUAAGAUAUGCUCCACCGGUUCCCUCCAAAGAGCUAACUGGAAAAUGCCCACAGUCUAAGCCAUCUACAGUAGAGUUCACCAUAUC